GCUGGCGUAGCUUAAAUUUAAAGCAAAACACUGAAGAUGUUUUAAUGAGUCUUAUUAAAACUCCGUAAGCA
rnacentral:tRNA from 1 species